ACUUCUUACCGGGAGAAACUGCAAAAUCAAUGCAAAGAGCAUGAACAUAGAAAUCUGACAUCUCAGUAUGGCAUAACAACUUGUAACUUUAAACAACUACAGGAGGAUAAGAACACUUUCCUUUGUGAAGAAGCAAGCUGUCAUAAAUGCUACAACACACAACAAAGUUAAUUCUGCCAACAACCUGCAUGAGCUUGGGAGAAGCUUCUUCCCCACUUGAGCCUCAAGAUGAGAAUGCAGCCUUUGUGGACACCUGGAUUGCAGCUUUGUGAGACCCUGAAGCAAAAAACUCAAGCCAUGCCUGGACUCCUCACCCACUGAAACUGUGAGAUAAUUGUUGAUAAACAUUUAUCUUCUUUGUUGAUUCAAUAAAUCAUUUGUUGAAUAUAAUCCAUGGAGCUGUCAAUGUGCUAGUAGCUGGCCACAGACAAAUUGCCUCAAUCACUGUCCCAGAAAUCCUUAUGGUAAGUUGAGAAGCAGAAUAACAGCAGGGUACCUUGGGCUGUGCUGGAUAAAAUUGUUCUGCUUUCCACUGUGAGGGCUGCAAUAGACCCAAAUGAACUUAAAUGAGACAGACCAUAGCUUCAGUUCUUCAAAGGAGAUUCUGAGAGGCCCUGUAUUUCUACAAUAGUUUGAUGAGGGUGGAUGUCAGUAAGACGUGAGGGAUAAACUGUCUUCUUACUCCAGAUCCACAAUGUAGUUGAAGACAGCUUUCCAAUAAUAGUGUUGAAUUUGUCAGAAUACAUUGUGAUGCU
rnacentral:lncRNA from 1 species